ACUUCCUCGGGGAGAGGUGGUGGCGCGCGGGUCCUGGCCCAGCGGCUCCAAAGGCAGAACUAAUGAUGAAUCCGUGAUUCCUAUCCCGGGAGCUCAAGUCUCAGCUCCCCCGGGGUCGGUUCCCGGACGGCGCGCGGCCCCACCGGGGGAAGGCUGAGAAGUUCCCCCACGGCGGAGCCCCGGCAAGGGGCCCCGGGGGAGGGGGCGGCGCCAGGUCGGAGCGCAGGAAGCCUCGGCCCACGCGUGGGCCGGGACCGUGGGAAGCCGAGCUGGGGGCGGGGCCGCGCGGAGCCACCCCGGGGCCCGGCUCCGGGAUCCCCCUGACGGGGCGCGGGCGGAGAGGGGGCACCCUGGCCGCUACCUGCUGUUGGAUCUUCCCGUCCUCCGUGACGACCCAGUGCGUAGUGGCCAAGGCCCCUCGAGCCACCACGCUCAGCAAAGCGGAAAGGCUGAGAAGCCAACCCCGACCGGAGCGAGGUAGCAGCUCGAACCGGCCGCGGACCCCUACUGCCGCCGCCAUCUUGCCCCCCCGGCCGGGCCGCUCACACCGGAAGCGGAAGCGACUCCGUGCCGUCCGCCAUCUUGGGGAGGUCGCCUCUGGCCCUGGAGGAGGAGCCCGCGGAGUGCCUUGGAGGCGACGCCGGUCCCUUUACCCUAGGUUGGGGCAGCCGGUCCUGCCACUCCUCAGGGCUGGAAACUGCUUUCUAGUUACCGUUUUUCUGUAGGCUAUAUGAUCUCCAAGCGUGGGAACCGGAGGGGAGAUAAUAAUAGACGAGGUGGAGCUUGAGCAGAAGUAAGAAGACGGUGGAGGUCUUUUUAAAAACCAUGACUGAACAAUGAUGGCUUCUGAGUUAUUAUGUGCUAGGCAGUCCUGUCACUUAAAAAAAAAAAAAUCCUGUUUAAGCACUUUUUUUUUUUUCCAUACAAUUGCACUUCUUUCCUUCCAUGAAACCUAGAGAAAUAUAAAGUCAUAAUGGGAGAACUGCCAGUACCUCACUCACUGUGAGGUUUUAGUGCAGUAUAUACCAGGAAAUGUAUCUACUUGAUCUUUCAAUAUGAAAUAAUUUUUAAAGGUCUGUUAAAUAGUAUCAGCACAUCUCUGCAUGUGGGUCUGUGCACAUGAGUGCAGUUGUCUGCUGUGGAGGCAUAUGCUGGGUCUAUUGGAGUUAGAGUUACAGGCAUAACUGCCUGAUAUGGGUGCUGAGGAAUAAACUGAGGUUCUCUGCAAGAGCAGUACUGUACUUUGCAGUCUCAAAACUGGGACAGAUUUUGUAAUUUGUAAUCUAAUGUAGGUAUUUAUUAAAAGUUUAUUACAUUUAAUGUGCUUGUAGGUCAUAGGACAACUAUCACGAGUUGGUUCUUUCCAUCAUGUGGAUGCAGGGAUUGUAAGGCUUGGCAGCAAGCUCCUUGUAUCUGCUGAGCCAUCUUGCUGGCCCAAGUUUUUAUUUUUCAUAGACCUUUUUAUUAGCUUAUGCUUGCUUCAAACUUGAACCUCCUGCCUCAGCCUCCUGCUUACUGGGAUUGCAGAUGUAUGUCACUGAAUCUGUUAUUUUCUUCCAUCCUCAAACCUUUGCGAGAGUCUCACUAUAUAGCCUAGGUCACUUGUGAUCCUCCUCCCUCGGUACCCUGAUAGUUAUAGGCACGGGACACCAUGCUUCAGCUCUCCUGAUGCUGUUUUGGCCGAAUGGAAUCUCUUCCAGAAGACUGUAUUUACUUACAAAAAUAUAUCCAAACCAGGCGGCUUUUAAGACUGACCUUGACACCAGAGCAUACUUUAGUUUGCCAUAUGAGAAGCAAUCAACAAAUGCUAAUAUCUAAAA
ensembl:processed_transcript RIKEN cDNA 2810002D19 gene